rnacentral:rRNA from 1 species
GAUGAACGCUGGCGGCGUGCCUAAUACAUGCAAGCCGAGCGAACAGACGAGGAGCUUGCUCCUCUGACGUUAGCGGCGGACGGGUGAGUAACACGUGGAUAACCUACCUAUAAGACUGGGAUAACUUCGGGAAACCGGAGCUAAUACCGGAUAAUAUAUUGAACCGCAUGGUUCAAUAUUGAAAGACGGUUUUGCUGUCACUUAUAGAUGGAUCCGCGCCGCAUUAGCUAGUUGGUAAGGUAACGGCUUACCAAGGCAACGAUGCGUAGCCGACCUGAGAGGGUGAUCGGCCACACUGGAACUGAGACACGGUCCAGACUCCUACGGGAGGCAGCAGUAGGGAAUCUUCCGCAAUGGGCGAAAGCCUGACGGAGCAACGCCGCGUGAGUGAUGAAGGUCUUCGGAUCGUAAAACUCUGUUAUUAGGGAAGAACAAAUGUGUAAGUAACUAUGCACGUCUUGACGGUACCUAAUCAGAAAGCCACGGCUAACUACGUG